AAAAAAUCCAUCCGAUGGCUCUAAUUCUGGCAAUGAGUUCGUUAAAGUAGGUACCCGACAGCAGCCACUCCUGCGACUGCGAGAGGAAAGAAAAAAUAAUGGAGAGCUUGUGUUUCCACAGUUAUAUCCCUUCAAUUCUUCCAUUUCAAAAGUUCGUUACUAAUCCCUACAGUCACAAUUCCUUCUCCAACUCCAAUUCCAGAAACCCACUCCGUUUUCCUUCCAGUUCAAAUUCAAAAUUCACGGUUCAUUGUACGGAGAGAACCAGAGAGGAUACUCCUCUUUCCAGUUCUUCUGCUUACACGGUGCUCGGCGUUGAUCCCGGCUGCUCAUCCGCCGAGCUUAAGGCCGCUUUCCGAGCCAAAGUGAAGCAGUUCCAUCCUGAUGUGAAUAGAGAUGGGGAUGAUUCUGAUACCAUGAUUCGCCGCGUAAUUCAAGCAUAUCAGGUACCCUUUUCUGCUUUAUUCAUUUUCGAUUCAAAAUUUUCAUGUUUUAAUUUCUGAUUUUUAGUGAGGGAGUUAGUUGAAAAUGGUGUUUGUCAACAAUUUUUGUAGAUGAUAUCUAACUGCAGCCGAUUAGAGAUCAUCGAAAGGUGAACUUUUUGUUUCCAGUACGUUCAGAAUUCAGUACCAUGAAAAUUGAAAAAUCCUUUUCGAAAUUCAUUAUCCUUCAUCACUUAGUUCUUGAUCCUCGUCUGUUUGAUCUGCUUGCUCUUCUUUAUUUUUUCCCCAUUUCCCUAUAAUUUGCAGGGCAUGUUUAGAUCCCUUUGAUAAGCCAGAGUGUGAAGCAUUUGACAUCUUUGUUAAUGAAGUUCUUUGUGUUGGCAAAGGUAGUAGUGUAUUGGUUUUCUAUCAUGUUCCACCUCUUAUAAAAGAAAUACUAUGUAGAGUAGGUAUUUGGAGAUGUAACUGCAAAUUUUUUAAAAUAUAAUGAAUUAGUGUAUUCUGUUGGUGGCUGAAAUUCUGUUCCUGCAUGCCUCAAUAUCAUCUGAUCCAUAUGUGCUGAACCUGUUAUGAUAUUGAAUGAUGGUAUCAGUAUAUCUCAUGAUCUUCCAAACCCCUCCAUUUUGAGUCAUUUGAACCAAAUUAGACCGAAAACUCCAUCAAAUAGCAAAUGAGUGUGCUUUUUCACCUUUUGCAGGAUGUCCUUAUUCAUGUGUACAAAGAGCUCCUCAUGCCUUUGCUUAUGCUUGUUUAACUGGAACUGCAAGGGCGAUAUCUCAAGGGCAUGGUGAAGAUUACCAAGUUCAGCUUGCCGUUGGUCAGUGCCCAAGAAGUUGUAUUCAUUACGUGACACCUUCACAGAGAAUCAUUCUAGAGGAGUUGCUUGACAGGUAUCUGUAUCUCACAUUUUACCUGGAGAAUUUUGCUAUUGCACUAUAUGGUCUGUGAAUUGAUCCAAAAAAGUAAAAUGAAAAACCACUUUAACGGUAACUGCAGCUACAUAAUUAUGAAGAAAACCACUUUAACCGUACUGCAGCUACAUAAUUAUGAUGCUUCUGUUUCCUGCUUUUUUCUGUUUAUAUGUCAAGGUUCGUGACUGGCCAUUCUUCCUCCAUUUUCUUCUAUCCCACUGCUCCUAUUUUUCUCUGCCUUACAACCAUAUUUUUCUUCUUAAUGGUUUACCAUUAACUUCUACUUGCUUGCAGUAUCUUGAAUGCACCGUAUGAUUGUUCAGCAGAGGCAGACUUGCUAUAUUCUCUUAUAGUUAAAGCUAGAUUUGAGAACAAUCGGUUCCAGAAGCCGAAGAAGCAACCAAAGACUUCAACUCAACACGUGGAUUGGUUUACUUGAGUACUGCUGGUAAGCGGAUUCAUGUUCAAUCACCAAUAGUACCAAUUUACAGAACCCGCAAAAUAGCAAAGAAAGUAGAAGAAAAUUCUAAUUGUAGAUAUCAAGGGAAUGAUGACUUUGAAUAUUACUUCAUCGAAGGAGCUGAUGCUAGAAGCAUGUAGCGAAGAGAGAAACAUAUUGGCUUUGCUAGGCGACAGGUGAUUCAAGAGAAAGCUGGGAAAUUUGUAUUCUGCUGAAGGCAUGUGUAGUCAUACACAUCGUCAUAUUUAUUCUUUUAUAUGGAGCAAUGCCGCCGAUGAAAAAUCUUGUCACCAAUGGAUUUGAGUUCAAUUAAUUUAUGCUUUAUAAAUCUUUUUUAUUGUUUAUGAAGUAAACAUUAUGAGCAUUGGUUCAUGAUGGAAGGGAAUAAGAAAAAUAUGUAGUUGUGGUUGUGGAGACUAGAAAUGGUAUUUGAAACUAAUCCCACAUAGGAUAUUGAAGAGCGGAGUUGGAAAGGGUAGUGGCUAUAAAUGAUAAGCGGAAUGCAACGGGUUUCCAUACUUACCUGGACGGGGUCAAUGGGUGAUCAAGAAGGCUCAUGGCCUAGGUCAGUGACUUCCAUUGCACUUGGGAGGGGUGCUGUCCUAAGGUCUCCCCAAGUGGGAGAGCCUACGUCAUAAUUUGUGGCAGUGGGGGCCUGCGUUCGCGCGGCCUCUGGCUUGACCAGUUAAAACCUUUGGUCCAAUUAAAUUAAAUAGUUGUGUUUUAUAUUUUAAUUUCUAUUAAUGUAUGAAAUAUGGAAGAUUAAAGUACUAGGUUUUAUUGUUGCACCAUAAAUAGAAAUUUUUUUGUAGAAAAAUAAAAUGUAAAGAAA
rnacentral:misc_RNA from 1 species